rnacentral:rRNA from 1 species
CACGUAGGCGGCUUUCUAAGUCGGGGGUGAAAUCCCGGAGCUCAACUCCAGAACUGCCUUCGAUACUGGAAAGCUCGAGUCCGGGAGAGGUGAGUGGAACUGCGAGUGUAGAGGUGAAAUUCGUAGAUAUUCGCAAGAACACCAGUGGCGAAGGCGGCUCACUGGCCCGGUACUGACGCUGAGGUGCGAAAGCGUGGGAGCAAACA